UGUAAAGAAAAAAAUAAAACACAACCACGCACAGAGCACAGGGGCUCGCCUACUCUCCCUCUCGCCCAUGAAGUCAUCGCCGCCGCCGCCGCCGCCCAUGCCGGCUGCUUCUGGCGCCUCCGGCGCAGCGCGGCACGCCCCAAGCUGCCCACGGUCGGCGCCUCCCUCCCCUCCAUCCAGACUCUCUGCUCCCGGCCUCUACAGCCCGCUCGCAACCACACACCCAUGGCUAGGGUUUCGGGCAUGGCUUCGCCGGCGCGUCUCAGGUGGUCCCAGGUUCGUCCUUCCUUCCUUCUUGGCCGAGAUCGCCUUCUCUUCAAAUCCUCUGCUGGAGAUGCAGUUGGGGCACGCCAUGGGAGUUCCCCAUCCACCACGGUCACCGCCGUCAAGGGAUUCUUCAAGGAGAUGUCAAGGACGCCAUGGACAUGCAGCUCCUCAAGGUUUUAUCCCUCCUUUCCUCUGAUAUCAAGUUCUAACAGUACAUUAAUCCAAGCAACUGUUUUCAGAUCAAUUAAGGAAUCAAUCUCAUGAUGGUUGAUGCUUGAUGCAGCGGAGGAUUGGGCCUCGCAUUAUUUUUUCCAGAAUUGGGUGUGGGUACUCUGAGUGAGCUAAAUCUGUGCAUCAAAAUUGUAGUCUGUAGCUUUAUGUGUUACGUCUUAAGAUUGAACUUGAAGAUUGCUUUUGGGAGUAGUUUUAGUUGGUAGAUGUUUCAGGCUCCAAAUACGCACACAUUAUGUGCUUAGUGUGUGGCAUAAACAUGAUCAGUUUUAUGCUUAGAAACCAAAUCACUGUCCACCCAUUUUAUUUCUUCAUGAGUAUUUUGUGUUGAAAUCAGAUCACCGUUCACCUGUUCUCGUACUGUUGUCUUUUACUUAUUUUGCCGGUUCUCAAUAAAAUGCUCAGUUCAGGAUGUGAUUUUCAGUUUUAGGGAUUUGAUACUUUUGGCACUGAGCAAAAAAAAAAUUCCUCUGAGCGUGUACCUUCAAAUGCAAAGUUCUGACAAUGAUUUCGCAUGCAACCACACCGCCGUCGGUCGCUCUGCCUACCGAGUGCCACCCCGCCGCCUCCCCCACUCCCCCCACCUGGGACCUCACCGCCCGCUCUAUCUAAUAUAUUUUCCAGUUUUCUUGCAGUCGCCAAUACAAAUGUCCGCUUGAGUGUCAAAAAGCAGCAGUCAUAAUGAAAAAAGAGUAUGGGUUCGUUGCUACAUUGUAGUAGUUAUGUACAUCUCAAAUUUUCAGCCCAGGAUUUUUAUUUUUACUAAUGUGAGUAUUUCUUAGUCACUCUUCAUCUUCCAGCUUUGACUGAAAAUAACUCUCCUGAAAACUGUUGGCAAUACUCACAAUGUGGUCUACAAAGAAACAUUUGAUGAUCUUGCUUGAUAACGUACCGGCGGGCAGAAAAUAUAUCAUGUUAGUACCAUUCGUAAGCAAACAUGUACCUUAUUUCUGCUUAAAUGUUCUCUGUUUCUUAUUUCAUAAGUGUUUUGCAUUCCCUAUAGAAGCUGACCGGCCAAAUUUAUGUUUACUACACUAGCAUAGUCUCUCAAGUACUGCACUCCUGCAGGCCACCCAACCCAUAUUUAAAAUCGGGUACUUUUAGUUCUGACUGCAGUCAUAUAGAUAUUCAUGUAUAAAAUUGUUUGCCUUUUGUUCUGGUUAAAUCCAGUGAUGGUGCUCUAGGUGAUCAUGCUUCUUAGCCGCUAUUAGUGGGCGAAGGCGCAACGUGUACAAGUAUAUCUUUCCACAUAGAAAAUAAUUCAUCUACACAAGCCUUCAGAACAGGGUAGAUUUCCUAGAAGGCGACACCCAAUAGGUCAUUUUUGUACCCAGGUUUCCUUGCAAGCUUAGAAUUAUCAAAUUCUACUACAGUUUAUAUUUGAUGCAUGAAAUUGACCUCUUAGCAAUCACCGGUUCAACAAUCUUUUUAUUAUAUGCAACCAUCACAGGUCCUGAUUUUUUUAAUUAAAUAUUCCUAAUGUUGAACAUUUUUUGUUACGAAUUCAGUUCAUUAUUCAGGAUCGCAAGAGUCCAAUUCUUAUGUGGUUCAGGAAGCACCAAUUAUAAUACGAGUUAGACGGCUAUACAACUCAACUUAUCUACUGAAACAAGAUGCUUAGCGGAUCAACAAGAUGCUUACAGAUAUAGAACAACAGGAGGGUGAAGUGUGGGUAUAACAUGGCAAAUGAUAGACCCGGUGAAGAAGGAAUGACAGUUGUGCGGAGGGUUAAGGGGUGUGGUUACAACGUGAACAUAAGAGAAAGACCCGCAGGCCAAGUGGUCCAUUAGAAAAGGGCUGGAUAGAUUAUCAAACAAUGAGGGAAACGAGGAAGAGCUCGGGAUGACGGCGUAAUGAUUAGCUGUCUUCAAGUAGAAGAUCCGGACAACCAUAAGGGCGUGCGAUUUUUUUUCCGAUGCAAUGCAUGGGCGCCACGACCGACCUCAACCUUCGGAUUUUACAGUACUGUAGUAUUCAUAGAAGUCUACUUUUUUGUUGUAUUCGUAGUAAAUUAUAGUUAAUUGAUGACUAACCUGAUGAAGGAUUUACUGUCCUAUAGCUUCUAUAAUUUACCGCACUAUAAUUUUUUUGA